UACGGGGGGAGCAAGCGUUGUUCGGAUUUACUGGGCGUAAAGGGCGCGUAGGCGGCGUGACAAGUCACUUGUGAAAUCUCCGGGCUUAACUCGGAGCGGCCAAGUGAUACUGUCGUGCUAGAGUGCGGAAGGGGCUACUGGAAUUCUCGGUGUAGCGGUGAAAUGCGUAGAUAUCGAGAGGAACACCCAGGGGGAAACCAGUCGACUGGGCAUCUACUGACGCUGAGGUGCGAGAGCGUGGGGAGCGAACCGG
rnacentral:rRNA from 1 species